rnacentral:rRNA from 1 species
UGGCGAAUGAAACGGGAACAGCCCAUCGUCGAACUGCAGGCCUUCAUCGGUCUAGCGGAAUGUGACGUUCGGGAGAGUCUUCUCGCGGCGUGGACAGCCAGUCAAAGUCCAACUUGACAGUGGCCACUGCCCGUAGAGGGUGAUAGGCCCGUAAGGCGGCCGUCCUGCCGUGCCGACUUUUCCCCAGAGUCGGGUUGCUUGGAAGUGCAGCCCAAAGUGCCAGGUAAACUCCUGGUAAGGCUAAAUAUGACCCCGAGACCGAUAGCGAACAAGUACCGUGAGGGAAAAUUGAAAAGAACUUUGAAGAGAGAGUUCAAAAGUACGUGAAACUGUGCUGUGGCAAACGGAGGGGUUCUCGAAGUCUCGCGGUGGAACUCAACCUUGGUGGCGGGCCAGGUGUGGCGUGUUGGAUCAGCGAUGACCACGCGUUGCCUUGUGGCUCGUCUCUCGGGCGCACUUUCCGCCGCGUUCACGACAGGAACUGUUGGGGCUUGAACCUUAGGCCUGGGAAGAAGUUGUGGUUUGGCUUCGGCCGUCUGCAGCUCCCGGUGACCCGGCUUCGGCCCCGACAGGUAGGUAAGAGGGCGCGUAUAGCGCGCGGCUUUCUGCCGCGGCUCUCGUCUCCCUGUCGAGUAGGUCGGCGACCCCUCCGACCCGUCUUGAAACACGGACC